UACGUAGGGUGCAAGCGUUAAUCGGAACUACUGGGCGUAAAGCGUGCGCAGGCGGUUUUGUAAGUCUGACGUGAAAUCCCCGGGCUCAACCUGGGACCUGCAUUUGUGACUGCAUCGCUAGAGUACGGCAGAGGGGGAUGGAAUUCCGGCGUGUAGCAGUGAAAUGCGUAGAUAAUCAGGAAGAACACCCGUGGCUAAGGCGGCUCUCUAGUACGGUACUGACGCUGAGACGCGAAAGCGUGGGGAGCGAACAGG
rnacentral:rRNA from 1 species